UACGGAGGGUGCAAGCGUUGUCCGGAAUCACUGGGCGUAAAGGGCGCGUAGGCGGCUCAUGAAGGCUGUGGUGAAAGUCCGGGGCUCAACCUCGGAUCGGCCGUGGCGACUCGUGGGCUGGAGCACUGUAGAGGCGGGUGGAAUUCCGGGUGUAGCGGUGAAAUGCGUAGAGAUCGGGAGGAACAGCAGUGGCGAAGGCGGCCAUCUGGGACAACACUGACGCUGAAGCACGAAAGCGUGGGGAGCAAACAGG
rnacentral:rRNA from 1 species